rnacentral:snoRNA from 1 species
AACCCAUGGUGGGGACACAUUCUCAGUAAGUCCUUGUAUCACUCCCAUGCAUCAUAAAGUGUUUCUAAAUCCAUAUGCACAAAAGAAGAGAUAUCAUUACACAAUUU